rnacentral:rRNA from 1 species
AACGCUGGCGGCGUGCCUAACACAUGCAAGUCGAACGAGAAAGUGGAGCAAUCCAUGAGUAAAGUGGCGCACGGGUGAGUAACACGUGACUAACCUACCCUCGAGUGGGGAAUAACCUCGGGAAACCGGGGCUAACACCGCAUAAUAUCUACGGAUCAAAUGCGUAAGCAGCUUGAGGAGGGGGUCGCGGCUGAUUAGCUAGUUGGCGGGGUAAUGGCCCACCAAGGCAGUGAUCAGUAGCCGGCCUGAGAGGGCGCACGGCCACACUGGAACUGAAACACGGUCCAGACUCCUACGGGAGGCAGCAGUGGGGAAUUUUGCGCAAUGGGGGAAACCCUGACGCAGCAACGCCGCGUGGAGGAUGACGCCCCUUGGGGUGUAAACUCCUUUCGAUCGGGACGAUUAUGACGGUACCGGAAGAAGAAGCAC